AACGCGGCCAACUGCGAUAAUUGGUGCGAUUCGCAGCGCCUAGUGAGUCAUUGAAAUUUUGAAUGCAAAUAGCAUGUUGGGUAAUAAAACUCCAGCAUAUGUCUGGUUGAGUGUUG
rnacentral:rRNA from 1 species